rnacentral:rRNA from 1 species
UACGUAGGGUGCAAGCGUUAAUCGGAAUUACUGGGCGUAAAGCGUGCGCAGGCGGUUUCGUAAGUCUGUCGUGAAAUCCCCGGGCUUAACCUGGGAAUGGCGAUGGAGACUGCGAGGCUAGAGUUUGGCAGAGGGGGGUAGAAUUCCACGUGUAGCAGUGAAAUGCGUAGAGAUGUGGAGGAACACCGAUGGCGAAGGCAGCCCCCUGGGUUAACACUGACGCUCAGGCACGAAAGCGUGGGGAGCAAACAGG